GACUAGCUAUGAAUGAAACUUUUAAAGGCUUGGUACGCUGAGACUUAAAGUGCUGUAAAUUGGCAAAACAAAUUAAAACCGCUUUAAGUAUCUUUCAGAAUUACUAUUGUUUUAAUUUAUGAAAGUCAUUCAUUUCGCAUAUACCCCGCAACAUAUGCAAACGCUUAAAUACGCCGCAGUUUGCUCCUUCUCGCAUUCCGUAUUUAUUACCGGUCAAGCUAGCUUACUGUGUUUACGCUUUACAGCAACGAAACAACAGACAAUAGUUCGUUUUCCCAAUUUAUAUUGUUAUAUCGCUUGCGCAAAUUAUAUUUUCUUCUGGCGGCAAUCGACAGCAAUUGCUCGAUGACACAUUCAAUCAAAUGCACAUAUAAACGCGACUUUACUGGCUCCUUAUUUGUUAUCUGAACGUCUUUGUGCAUUGUUGUUACCUUGACCUGCGUUAAUGAAAAGUGAGACAGUCACAGAAGUUGCACGUCAUUCACCGCUAUUUGCUGUACGACUAUGUUGAGCUUUUUAAUUGUGCUUCCUUGACCUAUUGGAGUUCCUUGUAUCUGAAUUGGAAUGUGUUUUUUCCUCUCAGGUUGAAAAACAUGGUCGUCAAUCUUUGCCAGCCACACUUCAAUCCGAGCAUAAAUUGCAAUAAGUUGUGUGCAGAUGGUUACGAUGUCACAAACCUUAUAUCAGCGGAUCCUACUGUGCAAAGGCGGGGCUUCAAGCUGGAGUACUUUUUACGUCCUCCUGUGCAGGUAACGUUAAGGUUCGGCUUCCGGGUGGAGCUGUGCAGAAUAGAUGUGGAGCUAUGGCCUUGGGGCAUGGACCGAGGACAGUGCAGCAAGAGACUGGAGAUCAGCACCAGCUCUGAUCCGCUUCCUCCUCCGAAUUUUGGCCAGGAUCAGUUUAAAAAUGGCCUCCGGGAGGAGCAGAAGAGCAGAAAGCAAGAGGAACCCCGUCAAGCUCGUCAGUCGAAUGGCCAUCAGUGGAAUCUCCAGGCGCAAAAGUGGGGUGGGAAGGCUUCAGAUGUGUCUCAGCAAAGGCCUCAGACUCAAUCAGGCAGUUCUGAGCAAGACUUUAAAUUGGUGGGCCGUUGUGAGCUCAAGGAGGAAACCAAAGUUAGUUUCUCCCGUCCUCCUUUUCAACUGCGGCCCCCCUUUGUGUGCCCGCCUCCUCCUCGCCCCAGCGACAGUCGGCAAGAAGAACUGUGGAGCCGAGGACACCUUUCCUUGACUUCCGUCACGCAGCUCCGCGUGACACUGCCUUUCGGCGGCUCGGCGUCCGCUCUGGGUCUCAAGGCUUUGGCGGUUUGGGGGCUGCCGGCUCGUUGCUGCCCCCCGGAGGAAGUUGAGAAGAUUGAGCACGCUCACAAAGCCAGUCAAAGGUCACGAUGUGGCCAUGUCCCAGCAACUGUCAAUCAAAUUAAGCAGUCCUGCUCAAACACACCGAGCGCAGAAUGUCUCAAUUCAAUCCCAGAAGAGUUCCUUGACCCCAUCACUCAGGAAGUAAUGUCGCUUCCCAUGCUGCUCCCGAGUGGCGUGUCAGUGGACAGCACCACCCUGGAGGAGCACCAGAAACGGGAAGCCUCGUGGGGGAGACCAAGGAGCGACCCUUUCACCGGCGUCCCCUUCUCCGCCACCUCCCAGCCACUCCCCAAUCCUCAGCUGAAAAGACGAAUCGACCACUUCGUCCUGCAGAACGGCGGCGCGAGGAGGGACGGGACGACAGGAAGAAGUGGGGAGGCAGAAAAGCCAAACGCCUCCAGGUUGAUUGGCUCUUUGGCGGCAAAUAUAAUCGAGGACAACGUAACGGGACAGUCGUCAGAUUCUGGAAACAUUCCAUGCGACUCGAAGCUUUACAACAAAAACACAGCGCUAAAUCGUAACGGCGGGAGGAAACGACACCUGAGUGGAUCAGAGGCAGAUGUGCCACAGCUACUACCUCAAGCCAAACAACCAAGAAGUCACACAACACCAGGGCCAAGCAGCAGCAGCGGUGGCUCGCAUGAGCAACAUCUGUCAUCCAGCCUGGAUGAUGCCCUCAUAGCCGUCUUAAAGGGCAGACCCUCCUUUACGUCAAACUUAUCCACGCGGGGGACUGGCGCUCCUCCCACCGGGUCAGUGGAAGCCUCAACUGUACGACAGGCUACUGCUGCAGGCGAGAGGACGUGCUCAUCUUGUUCCUGCGCGCUCUCCCCAUACUCGAUGCCGGCAUCGCCAGUUUACCGGCUCCUCUGCGGCCACUUGCUGUGCCGCCCCUGCCUCCAAAGUAACUCGGCACCUGCGCUCAACUCCAUCACCACCACGACAUCCUCCGCCUGCUUCCUGUGCGCAACCUGCCGAACUCCCUCGUCUCGCAGCGACAUCCUCCGCGUGCAUCACUAGCCUGCCCGGAGACAGUACAAGGCAACAGUCUGUUCCCAAGGCGGAGGCACGGAAACGGUGUUUGUCCUUGUUCAUCGCUACGUUCUCAGUCUAUUCAUUGAACACUGCAGCCUUGGUUCAGGCACCUUGUGGACACACAAAGGGGCUUGAGGAUAGUGAAGCGUCACCAGGGUCUAAAUGCACAAAGAUGAAAGCACGGAGGCUGAGGCUUCACAAGAUGUUGACCUUCUCAUGCCGCACAUCCUCCAUUGGACAUUUCAACUGCUGUUUUGAACAGUUGGAAAAAUAAAUGCGGAAUUUAGGUCAAUUGCAGAAAUUAAAUCCAAUUUUAAGAUCGAAUGAUUUUAGCCAUUUUGUGCUAACAACCACUCCACAGGUAUUCCGUGUCUGUCCUUCUUCAGAGCUGCCACCGAGCGUGCAAAAAGAUCCAAAGUCACAAAAGACUUGUAUAUUACAACCUCGUUGACAAACAUGUUGGUCUCCAUGACAACAUCAAGUAUAAUCAAGGUUGUGAUCUUGCAUCCGCUCUUGGAGAGCUGCAUGCAAAAUGGUGUCCUAUAAGAACAAUAAUAAUAACCUGAGCUUUCUUUUGUUCAAUGUAGUAAAUAAAUAUUCAACCUUUUUA